rnacentral:rRNA from 1 species
CCGAUGAGGGGGGAUAACUACUGGAAACGGUAGCUAAUACCGCAUAACGUCGCAAGACCAAAGAGGGGGACCUUCGGGCCUCUUGCCAUCGGAUGUGCCCAGAUGGGAUUAGCUAGUAGGUGGGGUAACGGCUCACCUAGGCGACGAUCCCUAGCUGGUCUGAGAGGAUGACCAGCCACACUGGAACUGAGACACGGUCCAG